ACUGAAAACUAUGCAUCAUUUUCCUUCCUUUCCUUACACACUACUUUGUGUUGGUUUGUUUAAUCCCAGUUUGGAGUUUUGGGCUUGUAAUCUGACAUCAUGUGAAACGGUUCAAGUGGUGUGAAUACGUUUUGGAAGGCUCUGUGUGGUUCAUUUUAGGAGAUUAACUGAUUAAUUCAAAUGAUCGAUCUGUUAGAUUUUAUUUUUAUAUACAUAAAUUCUUCAUUACAUUGAUUUCUUCUUAAUUUUUUUUUUAACUCAUAACUUCAUUACACUGUUUAAACCCAACUAAGCAUUUAAUUGCCAGUCCCAUUGCUUUUGGCAGGAGUCCUUUCCCUCCUCCUGCUUCACAGUGAGGUACAGCUGAGUUUUAGAGGGCGGAAAACGUCCGAGCGCUCCGGCGUUGCCAGGCAGUGAGUAGAGACUUGGCCGCCGUUCAGGGCUGCGUUCAGACAGUGACGUUUGGCCAGAUUCACUGUGGAAGCGGGGGGGCAAAACCGGGUCUAGAGGCAAUCAGGUUAAGAUGAUGCCAGUCGUGGUUUGACUUUGAUGUGACAUAACAAAACUGCGCCAUAUUGCCGUCUGAAGAAUGACUCGCUUAGCUUGGCUGAACAUGGUGGGGCUUCGUUCCUGUUGUCAUGCUGGGAAAACGUUGUGAAGAAUUUUAUAUGUGUGAAAAGUAUUGUGUCAGCAUGGUUCCGUGUGUGAAUACAUGAUGUUACAGUGAUACGACGGCAUUCGUUGAGUGAUUCACUCGUUCAUUCCCCCCCCUCGUUCCCCUCCAUCACUCCCUUCACAGUUUUGCACUUUGAAAGCUCUGAAGCUAGUAAGAUGUUUUUAAUUUUGGGCAAAAAAAAAAAAAAAAAGAAAAACCAAAUACACAUUGGUUGUGUAGGUGAGAUGUGUAAAUAUAGGUAGAUAAAUGAAUAACAUAUAUGUGAAAAAUCGCAAAUGAUUAAAGGGUGAAAAUGAAAGAGUAGAUCUGCGACAGAAGGACGAUUGUUUGUAAUUUGGUUUCAUGUUGAUAAUCACUCCGUCUCAGACUGAAGAUUGUGAUUUCUUUUUAUCCUCUCACUAAUCCUGAUCAUAGCUGUUGUUACUCUUGUGCGUGUGAACCGCUGGACUUUGUAAAAAUGAAUGUUUCGGACUGCCACCAACUAACACUGUUUAUCCGAGGGAGCGCGUCUCUCAUGUCACCUCAUGAUUUUAAUACAAUGUCUGAUAUUACAUCAUAGGCAAAUGUUUUCACUCAAUUGCCAAAAAGAAAGAAAGAAAGAAAAAAAGGAGAUAUGACAUGAAGCAAAAAUGUUCAGCACCCCCUGGGUCUGCGUAUAGAAAGGAUUAAAGAAAGUUUGCAAAAGCAUUUGCACAUCUUGAACUUCACAACUCAACACAUUGCAGCCACAAACCUUGGAUAGUAAGUUUUUUUUUGUUUUUGUUUUUUUUAGCACCAAUUGUGCUCCCCCCCCCCAUGUCCAGAUGAUGAAUUGAACGUUGGUCCAUGAGCUGUUCAAAGCUGAUCGAACUGUUUUAUAAACUAACCCUGCAUUAAACGUCUCCACACCUUUAUCCUUGGCAUGCCUGCUGUGUUGCUUGCUCUCCCUGAUGCUGUUUGUUCACCAAUGUUCUGUUUAAUAUGUACAAAAAAAUGAAAACAAACCUCACAGUUAUGAAGUUAAUUCACGUUGGUUUCAUCUCACAAAACGUAUCGAAGUUUGUGGUUGUAAUAAUAAAAAAGACUAAGUUGAGGGGAAUGAAAACUUUUACAAAGCCCUGUAUACAUGGCUGCUGUCCUCAACAUUUUCACCUUUUCUCAAAAAUCUUUUCUAUUAACAAGCUUUUAAAAUUUGACACACAGAUACCUUAAAACCUCUAAUUAGGGCUUAACCAUCUUUACAUCCUGUCUUUGGCAAACACUGCCACAAACUGCACAGUUUGUUAAAACUGAAAAAAGGAGAGGAAAAAAAAAAGUGUUUUUUUCACUUUUGAGCCGUCCGUUUCGUCCAUGAACUGGGUUCCAGACAAAUAUAGAAAAACACUAAAAGACAAAAUCACAAUGUGUACCGACUGAUUAUUAUGCUAUUUACCUUUUCAACAUACGAAAUAAAAAUCAUGGAUGGAUGCUUUGUUUAUUUUUACCAACAGACUGGAGUGAAUGUAGAAAGCCUUUAAGAUGACAUAAAGUGAUUGUUUUUUUUUUGUCGUAGUUGUUGCACCAAUGCUGAGCAGUAAAUAUGAAGCUGUUGGAUAGAAAUAAAUAAAAUAAAAUAGAUGCCUAAUCUGCAGCCAAUGUGGAUGUUACUGAACAUCAUUUUUUUUUUCUUUUUGAGUGGACAAUUCUCCUUUCAGUUCUACUCCUUUCAAAGCAUAUAUUAUUCACAGGGGUCUUUGUAAACCAGGGUUGCUUGGCAACAUAUUCAAAGGGUGGAAAAAGGGCAGUUUUUGAAGUUCUUUUUCUUUUAAAUAAAAUAUUGUUAUCAGCCCCAGCUGCAAAAAGAGAGCGGAGCAGCAUCGAGUGACCCUCCUAUUCACCGUGAUGCACCGAGAUGCGGCUUUUUCACGUUUUGCUUCAUAAUGGGGCUUCUUUGUGUUGCAGCCAAUGUACAUGAAAAACAUGCAGCCUUUAUGUUUUCUGGGUUGUGUACAGAAAUCUCUUUCAGUCUUCCUAUGCUGCUCAUUCUAUUUGACAGCCAUUUAUUGGAUAUUUCAAUAGCCCCUGCUCUUCUGUUGUCUCUUUGGGAAAUACAAGACAAUGGAAAUGACUGAAAAGCUGAAGCUUUUUACAAACUAGAGAAAACAUUUGGUAUUUUGAGGACGACAAAGACAAAGAAUGCCUUUGUAAAUCAACAGACUUUUAGAUUUUGAAACCAGUGCCACCGUAUCUUAUCCUCACCAUGUAUGCCUAAUUAUGUAGGCGAUAAUACGUUCAAUGUAGUCAUUUUAUUUGCAGUCACAAAUAGUCUAUAUUCUAAAUAUUCCAAUGAAAUUCCACUGGAAGUGAACGCGGGCCACAUUUGACCUACUAAUGGAAGCUUGGAUUAAAAACACCAAAUACUAACUUUUGAAAAAGCCACGACAGGCUCGCUAAAAUAUUGAAAUGAUGCAAUACCAACAAAACAUUUUCAGGUAAAUAGCUGAAACAUGAAAUAGCUGCAACUUUGUGUUUAAAAGAUACUGCGUGAGAACAACCUCACCAGGACAUUUUGACCUAUUUAUUUAAAGGUUUUCGGGGUUAAAUUACAGCUUUGGAAGCAACUGGUUUCCCUCACAAAGCUGCAGAGCUGAAGCAAAUUCUUUUGUAUGUAAUGUGAAAGUGGACCGGCAGAGGGCAGCAAAUCCUAAUUUCCUCCUCUUUUCUCCCAGUCAGUCUAUUGAUCCCGACUGAGGUUAAACUGAUUAUAACUGGCCUGAGCAUUACAGUGAGACUGUAACUGGAUUAUUUUCCUGCCUUAUUGAUGACAUGCUCAAUAACAGACUGUCCAGCAAAGCUCCUAGAAACUGGAGAUAACUUAACCUCCAGGAAAGAAAGGCAAUAAUAACUUAACAAUAAUAAUUAUAGUAAUAAUAAUAAUAAUAAUGUCUUGUUUUUCCAUCUUCAAAGCUGAAGAAGCUUUCAAAGAAAAUAUUAUUCCUGCCCCCAACAGAGAGUGGUAGAGACAGUGUGCGUGAUAGAGAGAGAGAGAGAGAGAGAGAGAGAGAAAGAGAGAGCUUUUUGUGUGUACUUCCAGAUGAGCGAGGAAUGCCCAGAUAUCAACAGAAGCUUUGUUUUGUCAGCUGGAGCGAGGUGGGGCCCAACACCUAAGCACUUGUUUGUUGACUCUGUUCGUCCAGGAAAACCAAAUGGUUUGAAACUAAACGUGCGAGGAGGAAACGGAUUGAGGAAAACACAGAGACGGAAAGGGGAUCGGAGAUAAAGGGAAAGUGCAUGCGACCAGGAUUAUUAGAGAGGGGUGGGGGGGG